rnacentral:lncRNA from 1 species
AUCAUAAAAUAAAAUGUUAUAAAUGAAAAUAUUCAUUUCAGAUUAUGGAAGAGAUUUCCCCAAAAGGACCGAACACAGUUUAAGUCUUUAUGGUGAGUUUUUAAUUAUAUUACCUCAUCGAUUUCCAUAAAGAUUCUGUCAUAUUUCACUGAUAGUAAAUUUACCAUGAGCUUAUAUGAAGUAAAUUAGGUAUUUACAGUUUGGGGGGACAUUUGAUAUUUCUUUCCUCUACACCUGUGUAGAAUUAAUUAUUACUCACUUGGGAUGAAAUCUAUGUCAUUAAGGUGUCUUCAAAUAUUUUCCACAUCAGAUGACAUUCUGAUGUACGUAGAUGUGGGCAGUUAAAAUUAAAGAUUACCAGCAGCAAUGUUUCACAGAGAGAGUAGGUGCUUGUUGUUUGAAGUGAAAUGGUGUGAAAUGUAUUUGAAGACAGAUAUUUGAUGAUUAACCUUGUUGACACUGGAGGUGAGCAGAAAAUUAUAAGAAUGUUUGAUUAGUGAGUUCUACUGUAGAUGUGAAAACGCCAUGUCAUUGAUGCGUCACAAAUACGCAGGUUGAUGUGGGCAGUUAAAAUCAAAGAGUACCAGAAGCAAUAUUUCACAGAGAGAGCAGUUGCUUUCUGUCUAACGGUAAGUGGUGUGACCAGUUUUUGUAGAUCGAUAUAUGGUUAUCCACUUGCUUGACAUUGGAGUUGAGCAGAAAACGAGAAGUUUGGUUCGUGAGGUUUACUACGGUAGAGGUGAAAACGUUAUGUCAUAAAUGUGACAGAAAUACCACCUUGACCAUGAUCGACUGACUGAGUGUAUUGACGACACUAGAAAUCACAGUGCACCCUCCACUUCUGUCUUCAUAUUGACCUUCUCACCUACGUAGCAUGUCGUAUUUCGUCAAACACUCACUUUUGGAUUCGCUCUCAGUGACCUCCUUUGCUCGUGUAUAUAACUCUCAACAACUGAGCAUCUCUUAAUAUUUUCAGUGAGCUGGUUACCUGUCCCAUCUGAAAUUUUGUCAUAAGUUUUUAGUGAUGAUGUCUCUCACACCUGAUUUCCCUCUGAUCGCCUCACUCUUGAUGUGCAAAUUUAGCAACACUCCCAAACCUCGAUUUUUCGAUUGUGCUUUGGGCCAUUAUCAGACUCACAUCCUCCAUCUUCGUUGUGUAACAGCUUUCAAACCUGUUGUAAAUUGCCGGUAAAUAGGUGUUGUUGAAGAGGUUUAUGUGGUUGGUCCAAUCCGACUUCGUUUUGAGACCAACUUUCAUAUAUCAACGCAAUGUAUUGUGACAUCCAACAUAAUUUAACAAUAUUGCAAUUACUUCACGUAAUUAUCUAUUUAUAGCAAUGUUUUUCAGUAGUUGAGUUAUCCUCUCUUUAUACCUGUGCCUUAAACUCCCUGAAAAUCAGAGAAAUACGGAAGGAAAGAGAAAACUAAAAGCAAAAUAUUCUUAUAAAGAGACAAUGAAAUUAAAUAAUUACAAUAUUGUUGAAUUAUAUUUGAUGUCUGAAUACAAAGAGUAUAGAUAGGAAAUUAGUUAAUAUUUUGGUGGCUCUUAAUAUAGAGUUUUGUUAUAUUGAAAGCGUGCAUAAUGGUCAGCCGUUGACCAUUGACAAUAGAAAUAAGUCACAAUAGUGAAAUAUAGAUUAUUAACAAAGAUAAGCACAUCAUCCUAUACAACGCAAACCUUGAAAAUAUUCAUUUCAGAUAUUCCAACACAAAUUCACAGUGCCAGUCCCGUUCCCCAUUCUCAAUUACAUUCUGGAGUAGAUGAAUCAGAGGAAGAUUGUAAGUAUGAAAUAAUUUCAAGUUACCGAUUUCUAUACAUUUCACCUUCUCCCGAGCUUUUGUAUGUUAGAACGACUGAGUACAGAUUCUAUUCCUUAAUUAGAUUCGAAAGUUUUGUUGUAUAAUAAUUCUAUUCAAUAUAUCGAUAUUACAGAAAUUUCACAAAAUAUCCAACGAGGUUAGCGUGGUUUGUAAAAUGAAAAAUUGAAACGGGAAUAUAUUUAGUAUAGUUUUAAGAAAGAGAG